AUGUGUCCUCGCCACCCUCUUUGGUGCACGGGGGAUUGGUGCUGGCAUUGCCAUGGGCAAGGGUGGCCAUGGGGCUGGCACUGGCCAGGGAACCUUUGUGCCUUGGAGCAGGGGGCUCGGAGGGCAGGGGGGUGUCUGCCAGUUCUGGGCUCCCUGGCUCAUCUUGAUGCAGCGGGGACAGUGGUGUCAGACCGCACAGUGAUGUCCCCGUCCCCAACAGCCGCCCCCAUGGUCCUGCUGGUGCCCCUUGCAGGAUCAGGGUGUCCUUCCCAGCCCGGCAGCGUCACUGCCUGCACCCUGCCUUCAGGCUGCCACUUCCUGAGGGGGGAGACAGCCAGGCCAGCCUCCCCAGUGCUGGGGGUGCAGGAUUUGGCCUUUCUCCCUUUAGGAAGUGGUGGCAUCGCCCAGAGAUGCUGGGCUGUCACCGCGUGCUUUCCCAGUGACGUCUGUUUGCCCUUGGCUGGCACUCGGAGCAGUGGGACCCGCCUGCAUCUGCCUGUCCCACUGGCACAUCACCGUGGCCUCAUGGCUGCCACCUCGGGUGCAACUGUCCACCAUGCAGGAAGUUGGUGUUCCCGUGUCCUCCAGCCAGUCCUGCUGCCAACACACCCACUCCGUGCCCCCAGCCUGCUGCGGGGACCUUGGGGCUGCCCCCCUGGGGCUCCCACUGUCUCCCCACGCUGCGGCCGUACCCUGACCCGCGCCGGCUCCCCUCCAGACGCAAUACCAACCAUCCCCUUCCUGCAGGACAUGGGGAGCCCCAAAACCCUCCCUGCUCUUUUGAGCGGGGAGGGUCUUGCCUGCACAGGGUACCCCCAACUACCUCAGGCCUCCAGGCUGGGUUGGGGCUGGCGGGGGGAGAGGGGAUUGGGGUGGCAGUGGGGGCUGGGGGAUGGCAGCGGCACCACUUGGCCACUACUACUUUUUGUAUCUCGGCCGGGUGCUGGCAGGGAGAAAUGUUCCUCACGCAGUCCCUGGCACUGGCAGCUGCUGACAGGGCUGGCGGGGGUGCCCCUCUACUGCAGGUUGGGUUGA
rnacentral:lncRNA from 1 species